rnacentral:lncRNA from 1 species
UUGUUUUAGAGACAGGGCUUCCCUAUGUCUCCCAGGCUGGAAUGCAGUGGUGUGAUCAUAUCACACUGCAGCUUCUAACUCAUGGGUUCAAGCCAUCCUCCUGCCUCAGCCUCCUGAGUAUCUGGGACUCCAGGUGCACGCCACCAUGGCCGGCUAAUUGUUUAUUUUUUUAUAGAGACAGGGUUUCACUAUGUUGGCCAGGAUGUUCAACAACUUCUGCCUUCAAGCGAUCUUCCCUCCUGGGCCUCCCCAAGUGCUGAGAUUACAAGCAUCAGCCACCACACCCAGCCUAUGACAUUUUCUUCAUUAUGGCUGGUACUGCCUCAUGACACAGUCUCACUCUGUUGCCCAGGCUGGAGUCAAUGGCAUGAUCUCAGCUCACUGCAACCUCCGCCUUCUGGGUUCAAGCAAUUCUCGUGCCUCAGCCUCCCAAGUAGCUGGGAUUACAGGGUGGCUAGGAAGGUAGAAGGUAAUCCUGGAGCUUCCUGCCACCACGCAGGAGGAAUUUGCCUGAGAGCAAAGCCAGCAUAGAAAAGCAGAGCUGAGACAUGGAGACUGGUGACUGAAAGUUUCAUUUCAGCAUAUGGAUCUCACCAUUCCUGAAGCCACUUUCAACUCAUCAAUUUCAUAGCUAAUAAAUUCUCAUUUUUGCACAAUUA